rnacentral:rRNA from 1 species
GAUGAACGCUGGCGGCGUGCCUAAUACAUGCAAGUCGAGCGAACAGACGAGGAGCUUGCGCCUUUGACGUUAGCGGCGGACGGGUGAGUAACACGUAGGUAACCUACCUAUAAGACUGGGAUAACUUCGGGAAACCGGAGCUAAUACCGGAUAAUAUUUCGAACCGCAUGGUUCGAUAGUGAAAGAUGGCGUUGCUAACACUUAUAGAUGGACCUGCGCCGUAUUAGCUAGUUGGUAAGGUAACGGCUUACCAAGGCAACGAUACGUAGCCGACCUGAGAGGGUGAUCGGCCACACUGGAACUGAGACACGGUCCAGACUCCUACGGGAGGCAGCAGUAGGGAAUCUUCCGCAAUGGGCGAAAGCCUGACGGAGCAACGCCGCGUGAGUGAUGAAGGUCUUCGGAUCGUAAAGCUCUGUUAUUAGGGGAGAACAAACGUGUAAGUAACUGUGCACGUCUUGACGGUACCUAAUCAGAAAGCCACGGCUAACUCCGUG